CCUCCUUUCCUUUAGCAACUCUAGAACUCCUCCAUCUAGGCUUUUUCACUGGCUCCACCUUCACUUCAUCACUAUCAUUUUUCUCAAUUUCCACACUUUCUUUAUUUUCGACUUCACCGUUCUUUUCAUCCUUUUCAACUUCUUCAUCACUCCACUCCCCAACUUCACCAUCAAUUCUAUCCUCUAUUAUUUUCUCCUCAUCAUUUUUCUCAACCUCUC
rnacentral:lncRNA from 1 species